UUUCAGCUGGCGCAUGCGCAAUGCGAGGUAAGCUCAAAGCAAUCUUCUCCCCAUCCCAAUAAAAAAAGAAAAUUUUUUGUCAAAACUCUUAUAUGCGUGAAGUUGUAUUCUUUUUCUUGUGUUUAUUUUUGUAGUUGGUUUUCUUUGCUUCCAGUGCGAGUAUUUACUAUAUAUGCAACAAUUCGACUGACAAACACACAGAACUGACUCAUUUCUUGCAACUUUGCGCCAGAGGAUCAAGAUCUGCAAAAUAUCAAUUAUCAGAGCAUUCCAAUAUACUCGGAUAACAAUACGACUGAUAAUUGUAACUUGCUUUCCUGUUUUGUCUUCAACAUUUCCUGCUUUGCACGUCGCAACGGAUGAUCAAACCCUUCCUACCUGAUAACAGUUGAAUAGGCUACUCUGUUUUUAUCUCUGAGAUAUUCAAUCCUUAAAAAGAAAAAUCGCUGCUACUGAUGCACAAAAAGAUAAUCUGGUCAUGUUUCUUGGGUUGAUUACUUGCACUACACAGGAGAAUGAUAGAUAUUGUAAGAAACGUGGUAUCGAAAACGUUUGGCAGUUUUGGCAGUAAAACAAUGGCAGUUUUAAGCCAUUGGAUCAGUGCGACUUCUGGGUCAAUAUCAAUUCGAAAAAAAGAAACGACUUGUCAAAUAACAAAUGUCAAAGUUAUCGAUUUUAAAGCCUCAAAAUUUUGAACAAAUUAAUUGUACUUAGUUAUGGCUUACCUGCAAAGCUCGUCGCUGAAAAUGAUGUACGGAUUCUUGCCUUCUUUGAGCACCAGCUCCAAUGAGAACCAAACUAGGCAAAGUAACUAUAAAUAAACAAAUGCAAAGCGA